rnacentral:snoRNA from 17 species
UUGGAUGAUGAACAUUUUUACAACAUGAAUUUCUUCACCUGAAAUAUUAUGUGGAUUCAGUAAAACAGAGCUUUUUAACCCUGACA